GAGAGUUCCAGGUAGAGUGCUGUAGCACUCUGGUGUUUGCAUGCAGCCAGCAGCACCCGUUUUCCCUCUUUCCAUAUUCCCAGUCCUUUAAUCAGCAGGCUGAGCAGACUGAGAUGAUACUGCUGGUUUUCUUUGCUGUCUGCUUUAGGAAGGGGUCUUUCUGUGUUCACCACAAGAGAAUGUUGCCAGCAGUGUGCCAUCACCAGACCAUCAUCACCGUCCCAGGGGUUUCCGUGCAGGACCUGGAAACACAGUGAGGAACUGGCUGUCACCCACAGAAGGAAGUGCGUCAGAGGUGAUUUAAUCCCAGCCACCAUGCCCAAAACUGAGUCUUUAACUCUUUCACUUGGAGCAAGAGGGCAGUUGCUGGCACCUAAACGAGCAGUGCCAGUAAUUGCUGUGUGCUGUGAUAAAUGCAUAUGGCCAUGCACAAGUCUGAAUGUAUGAAGCAAAGUCCCUUGGAACUGCCUACAGCAAAAGUUGAAGUCAUCUGGAAGUCACAAGAUGUCUUAUCUGUAGUAUGAAGUCAUGAGUCAUUUUAUGCCCAAGAAACCAACAUCAUCAAAUUCAGAGAAAUCACAGCGUGGGACAGACACAAUGAGACAAAGAAUACACGAUGCUCCAAGGUGGCUCUGCUAGUUAUUUGCCUCACUGAAUAGAGGAUAAAAUCAGCACAUUGCUCUGUGACUGUCACCUGCUCUCUCCUCUGACUUCCUAGCACCUAGCAGCAGUCCUCUUGGGUUUGUUUCCUCAUGGGAUACAAGGCUUAGAAGGCACAACCUGGGUUGGAGAAGUGCCCAGGCUUUCAGAAAGCCUGGGGUUCAGGUAGCAUCUGGCUUGAUGUUUGUCAGAAUAAAUGGCUGGCCCACUGAGACAGGCAUAUUACAGCCCAUUCCAAUAUCCGCGGCACCAAGCUACUGACUCACUUCAGCCCAUGGAGCUUGGAGACGUAAGUGCCAAAUGAGCUCAGGCAUACUGAGCCGCCCCAUGAUGUAGCCU
rnacentral:lncRNA from 1 species